rnacentral:rRNA from 1 species
GAGAAUGCCGGUGUGAGUAGCGAAAGACGGGUGAGAAUCCCGUCCACCGAUUGACUAAGGUUUCCAGAGGAAGGCUCGUCCGCUCUGGGUUAGUCGGGUCCUAAGCUGAGGCCGACAGGCGUAGGCGAUGGAUAACAGGUUGAUAUUCCUGUACCACCUAUAAUCGUUUUAAUCGAUGGGGGGACGCAGUAGGAUAGGCGAAGCGUGCGAUUGGAUUGCACGUCUAAGCAGUAAGGCUGAGUAUUAGGCAAAUCCGGUACUCGUUAAGGCUGAGCUGUGAUGGGGAGAAGACAUUGUGUCUUCGAGUCGUUGAUUUCACACUGCCGAGAAAAGCCUCUAGAUAGAAAAUAGGUGCCCGUACCGCAAACCGACACAGGUAGUCAAGAUGAGAAUUCUAAGGUGAGCGAGCGAACUCUCGUUAAGGAACUCGGCAAAAUGACCCCGUAACUUCGGGAGAAGGGGUGCUCUUUAGGGUUAACGCCCAGAAGAGCCGCAGUGAAUAGGCCCAAGCGACUGUUUAUCAAAAACACAGGUCUCUGCUAAACCGUAAGGUGAUGUAUAGGGGCUGACGCCUGCCCGGUGCUGGAAGGUUAAGAGGAGUGGUUAGCUU